GACGAACGCUGGGCGGCGUGCUUAACACAUGCAAGUCGAACGAAGAGCGACGGAAGCUUGCUUCUAUCAAUCUUAGUGGCGAACGGGUGAGUAACGCGUAAUCAACCUGCCCUUCAGAGGGGGACAACAGUUGGAAACGACUGCUAAUACCGCAUACGAUCUAAUCUCGGCAUCGAGGAUAGAUGAAAGGUGGCCUCUACAUGUAAGCUAUCACUGAAGGAGGGGAUUGCGUCUGAUUAGCUAGUUGGAGGGGUAACGGCCCACCAAGGCGAUGAUCAGUAGCCGGUCUGAGAGGAUGAACGGCCACAUUGGGACUGAGACACGGCCCAGACUCCUACGGGAGGCAGCAGUGGGGAAUCUUCCGCAAUGGACGAAAGUCUGACGGAGCAACGCCGCGUGAGUGAUGACGGCCUUCGGGUUGUAAAGCUCUGUUAAUCGGGACGAAAGGCC
rnacentral:rRNA from 1 species